GCAGAAUACAAGGUCUACCCGUAUGAAACCCUCAUUGUCACCAACCGAGUUCGGGUAAAACUACCGAAGGAUGUGGACAGAGCCAGACUGGAGCACCACCUCUCCACCGAGGAGUUCCAGGAGGUCUUCAAAAUGAGCGUGGAACAAUUUGAACGACUUGCACUUUGGAAACGCAACGAGCUGAAGAAAAAAGCUUUGCUUUUCUAGCCUGCCCGGAACUAAAGAGAAACGUGCUUCUUGACGUCGGCCAGCUCCGUCCGUCCGUCCGUCCUUCCACCACCUGCGCGCACCUGCGACUCCCCUCAUGGCGCUUCACUGUAUUUGGGCAGAGAAACCGACCCCCGCGGGAGGCCCGGCUCGCUCUCGCUCCCCCCCCGUCCGGCCAGCUCAUUAAAGGGUGUGACAAUCUCG